rnacentral:snRNA from 1 species
GGAUGUGAGGGCGAUCUAACUAUAACACAUGUCAUCCCAUUGACUACCAGGGUUGAUUCAGCUAAUCUGGCUAGCCAGGUGAAAGUCCCCUUCCCCGCUCACCGCUGCAUGUGUGUCCCUCUUGAAGCUGCAUGAUCACUUGAAGAGGAUGACUAUUCCCUGUUGAGGAGGACCGUUCUUUAAUCAAAGGCAUAUGAGUAGCUGUGCUCCUCUGCUCGAACCUCCAAACGAGCUCUCAAAAUUAAUCCUAUGCCCACUAUAACUAUUGACGGAAUUUGGGUAAAAACAUAAUGUGACCAAAUUUGCAAUUUUACUUCUGAGUUUUGGUUUACUU